CGCGUAGGCGGUCUCUUAAGUCAGAUGUGAAAGCCCGGGGCUUAACCCCGGAAGUGCAUUUGAAACUAAGGGACUUGAGUAUGGGAGAGGGAAGUGGAAUUCCUGGUGUAGAGGUGAAAUUCGUAGAUAUCAGGAGGAACACCGGUGGCGAAGGCGACUUCCUGGACCAAUACUGACGCUGAGGCGCGAAGGCGUGGGGAGCAAACAGGAUUAGAUACCCUGGUAGUCC
rnacentral:rRNA from 1 species